AGGGCGGUAUCAUUGAAGAGCUGCACCUGUUUUGAAAAUGAAAUAGUGAUGAGAUCUGCCUUGAUCUGCAAAGACAGGGACGGAGGA
rfam:Sporosarcina newyorkensis 2681 genomic scaffold SCAFFOLD1, whole genome shotgun sequence.